rnacentral:rRNA from 1 species
AGAACGAACGCUGGCGGCAUGCCUAACACAUGCAAGUCGAACGAGACCUUCGGGUCUAGUGGCGCACGGGUGCGUAACGCGUGGGAAUCUGCCCUUGGGUUCGGGAUAACAGUUGGAAACGACUGCUAAUACCGGAUGAUAUCUUCGGAUCAAAGUAUUUAUCGCCCAGGGAUGAGCCCGCGUAGGAUUAGCUUGUUGGUGAGGUAAGGC